rnacentral:rRNA from 1 species
GAUGAACGCUGGCGGCGUGCCUAAUACAUGCAAGUCGAGCGAACAGACGAGGAGCUUGCUCCUCUGACGUUAGCGGCGGACGGGUGAGUAACACGUGGAUAACCUACCUAUAAGACUGGGAUAACUUCGGGAAACCGGAGCUAAUACCGGAUAAUAUAUUGAACCGCAUGGUUCAAUAGUGAAAGACGGUUUUGCUGUCACUUAUAGAUGGAUCCGCGCCGCAUUAGCUAGUUGGUAAGGUAACGGCUUACCAAGGCAACGAUGCGUAGCCGACCUGAGAGGGUGAUCGGCCACACUGGACCUGAGACACGGUCCAGACUCCUACGGGAGGCAGCAGUAGGGAAUCUUCCGCAAUGGGCGAAAGCCUGACGGAGCAACGCCGCGUGAGUGAUGAAGGUCUUCGGAUCGUAAAACUCUGUUAUUAGGGAAGAAUAAAUGUGUAGUAACUAUGCACGUCUUGACGGUACCUAAUCAGAAAGCCACGGCUAACUACGUG